GCUCAACCGGGGAGGGUCAUUGGAAACUGGGGAACUUGAGUGCAGAAGAGGAGAGUGGAAUUCCACGUGUAGCGGUGAAAUGCGUAGAGAUGUGGAGGAACACCAGUGGCGAAGGCGACUCUCUGGUCUGCAACUGACGCUGAGGCGCGAAAGCGUGGGGAGCGAACAGGAUUAGAUACCCUGGUAGUCCACGCCGUAAACGAUGAGUGCUAAGUGUUAGAGGGUUUCCGCCCUUUAGUGCUGCAGCAAACGCAUUAAGCACUCCGCCUGGGGAGUACGGUCGCAAGACUGAAACUCAAAGGAAUUGACGGGGGCCCGCACAAGCGGUGGAGCAUGUGGUUUAAUUCGAAGCAACGCGAAGAACCUUACCAGGUCUUGACAUCCUCUGACAACCCUAGAGAUAGGGCUUCCCCUUCGGGGGCAGAGUGACAGGUGGUGCAUGGUUGUCGUCAGCUCGUGUCGUGAGAUGUUGGGUUAAGUCCCGCAACGAGCGCAACCCUUGAUCUUAGUUGCCAGCAUUCAGUUGGGCACUCUAAGGUGACUGCCGGUGACAAACCGGAGGAAGGUGGGGAUGACGUCAAAUCAUCAUGCCCCUUAUGACCUGGGCUACACACGUGCUACAAUGGGCAGAACAAAG
rnacentral:rRNA from 1 species